GACGAACGCUGGCGGCGUGCUUAACACAUGCAAGUCGAACGGAAAGGCCCUGCUUUUGUGGGGUGCUCGAGUGGCGAACGGGUGAGUAACACGUGAGUAACCUGCCCUUGACUUUGGGAUAACUUCAGGAAACUGGGGCUAAUACCGGAUAGGAGCUCCUGCUGCAUGGUGGGGGUUGGAAAGUUUCGGCGGCUGGGGAUGGACUCGCGGCUUAUCAGCUUGUUGGUGGGGUAGUGGCUUACCAAGGCUUUGACGGGUAGCCGGCCUGAGAGGGUGACCGGCCACAUUGGGACUGAGAUACGGCCCAGACUCCUACGGGAGGCAGCAGUGGGGAAUAUUGCACAAUGGGCGGAAGCCUGAUGCAGCAACGCCGCGUGCGGGAUGACGGCCUUCGGGUUGUAAACCGCUUUCGCCUGUGGCGAAGCGUGAGUGACGGUAAUGGGUAAAGAAGCACCGGCUAACUACGUG
rnacentral:rRNA from 1 species